GUGCUCAUUUCAGCAGCACAUAUACUAAAAUUGGAAUGAUACAGAGAUUAGCAUGGCCUCUACACAAGGAUAACAACCAAAUUUGUGAAGCAUUCUAUAUUUUU